CCUGCGCCUGCCAAGAGGAAGGCGCGGGUAGAGCCGGGCUCCGAGAAGGUCGCCGUGCAGGUGGUGGAGACAUAUAGGAGUUACCGUAGGCGAAUAUUCCCAACUGCAGGGUGGAAAGCCUUCAUCAAUCCUUGGGAAACCUGGGACUUCAUUUAUAGACUAUACUUCACCUCCUUCUGAAGAUACACUUGAUGUCAAGAAUUAAGGAAUGGACAGGAUGAAUAUAAAGGCAAGCCCAGCACCCACCCCAAAUCCAGGCAUCCAAAGAACACCUGGGGGCAGAUUAUGAGUGCCAGAAGAGGAUCGUUGAAACCGGCUGCUUUCAAAUCAAAAAGACCAGCAAAACCUCCAAGAUCAACAUCACAGCCUGUUGGAGAGAAAAUUAAUUACUUGCUGCAUUUCAACAGCAAAGAGUUGAUCAAGAAAGCAGAUAUUAAAGGGAGCCUGAGAGCCACAACUGCUAAGCCCGUGUGCCACAACUACUGAAGCCUGUGCACCUAGAGCCCGUUCUCUGUAACAAGAAGCCUGCGCACCACAACAAAGAAUAGCCCCUACUCGCCACAACUAGAGAAAGCCCACGUGCAGCAAUGAAGACUCAAUGCAGCCAAA